GCCAGCUUAGCUUAGUGGUAGAGCAUCGCACUCGUAAUGCGAAGGUCAAGAGUUCGAUCCUCUUAGCUGGCA